rnacentral:rRNA from 1 species
CCUACGGGCGGCUGCAGCUAAGAAUCUUCCGCAAUGGACGAAAGUCUGACGGAGCGACGCCGUGUGAAUGAAGAAGGCCGAAAGGUUGUAAAAUUCUUUUGCAGAUGAAGAAUAAACAUAGGAGGGAAUGCCUGUGAGAUGACGGUAAUCAUGCGAAUAAGCCCCGGCUAAUUACGUGCCAGCAGCCGCGGUAACACGUAAGGGGCGAGCGUUGUUCGGAAUUAUUGGGCGUAAAGGGUAUGUAGGCGGUUAGGUAAGCCUGGUGUGAAAUCUACGAGCUCAACUCGUAAACUGCAUUGGGUACUGCUUAACUUGAAUCACGGAGGGGAAACCGGAAUUCCAAGUGUAGGGGUGGAAUCUGUAGAUAUUUGGAAGAACACCGGUGGCGAAGGCGGGUUUCUGGCCGAUGAUUGACGCUGAUAUACGAAGGUGCGGGGAGCAAACAGGAUUAGAUACCCCAGUAGUC